rnacentral:rRNA from 1 species
UACGAAGGGGGCUAGCGUUGUUCGGAAUCACUGGGCGUAAAGCGCACGUAGGCGGAUGUGCCAGUCAGGGGUGAAAUCCCGGAGCUCAACUUCGGAACUGCCUCUGAUACAGCACGUCUUGAGUCCGGAAGAGGUGGGUGGAAUUCCUAGUGUAGAGGUGAAAUUCGUAGAUAUUGGGAAGAACACCGGUGGCGAAGGCGGCGACCUGGUCCGAUACUGACGCUGAGGCGCGAAAGCGUGGGGAGCAAACAGG